UCGAUUUAUUUAUUGGCUUCUUCCGUUUUGUAAAUCCUAGGUCCUCUCCAUCAUUGGCUGCGUACGCUAUUACAAUAUAGUGACGUAUUUAUAGGAUUUCGUCAAGGAAGGAGAUGUCGAAUUUGGAAAUUGUGUCGUAUUGUAUAACGCGUAUACAUAGGCUGAGAAAAAAAAAAAUUUAAAUUUCUAUAUUUCUGUUUACAAAUUAAAAAAAUAAAAAAAAAAAAACAGUAUUGUAAAACCAAUAAGUUCCUCCUCGAACCACUUAGAAUCUAAAAAAAAAAAAAAAUCAAAAACCAAACGCGCGUCACAUUAUGUCCUUCGGUAAAAUCGAUGACCCGCCUGUGCACGCUAUGCCAAUCUGUGGUGAUAUUAAAAGACGUCGCGAGAGUCUGUGACUGAAUUGUCUACGACACGAGCACGCGUAUAAUCGCUCCGUUGUUU